rnacentral:rRNA from 1 species
CCUACGGGGGGCUGCAGUGGGGAAUAUUGCACAAUGGGGGAAACCCUGAUGCAGCGACGCCGCGUGAGUGAAGAAGUAUUUCGGUAUGUAAAGCUCUAUCAGCAGGGAAGAAAAUGACGGUACCUGACCAAGAAGCCCCGGCUAACUACGUGCCAGCAGCCGCGGUAAUACGUAGGGGGCAAGCGUUAUCCGGAUUUACUGGGUGUAAAGGGAGCGUAGACGGCAGCGCAAGUCUGGAGUGAAAUGCCGGGGCCCAACGCCGGAACUGCUUUGGAAACUGUGCAGCUGGAGUGCAGGAGAGGUAAGAGGAAUGCCUGGUGUAGCGGUGAAAUGCGUAGAUAUUAGGAGGAACACCAGUGGCGAAGGCGGCUUACUGGACUGUAACUGACGUUGAGGCUCGAAAGCGUGGGGAGCAAACAGGAUUAGAUACCCGGGUAGUC